rnacentral:rRNA from 1 species
GCAUAUCUAUAAGCGGAGGAAAAGAAACCAACAGGGAUUGCCUCAGUAACGGCGAGUGAAGCGGCAACAGCUCAAAUUUGAAAUCUGGAGCCUUUCGGCUUACCGAGUUGUAAUUUGAAGAGGAUGUUUCGGUGCGACCUGGGCCUAAGUUCCUUGGAACAGGACGUCAUGGAGGGUGAGAAUCCCGUACAUGGCUGCAGGUUUGCUUCUAUGUGAAACUCCUUCGAAGAGUCGAGUUGUUUGGGAAUGCAGCUCAAAAUGGGUGGUAAAUUUCAUCUAAAGCUAAAUAUUGGCGGGAGACCGAUAGCGCACAAGUAGAGUGAUCGAAAGAUGAAAAGCACUUUGAAAAGAGAGUUAAACAGUACGUGAAAUUGUUGAAAGGGAAGCGCUUGCAAUCAGACUCGCCUUCAGUUGAUCAGCCUUCCUUCUGGUUGGUGCACUCUGCUGUUGGCGGGCCAGCAUCAGUUGGGGCGGUGGGACAAAGGCGGCAGGAAUGUGGCUCGCUUCGGUGAGUGUUAUAGCCUGCUGCGUCAUGCCACCAGCCCCGAUUGAGGUCCGCGGUUCGCCUAGGAUGCUGGCUUAAUGGUUGUAAGCGACCCGUCUUGAAACACGGACCAAGGAGUCUAACAUCUAUGCGAGUCUUUGGGUGUAAAACCCAUGGGCGGAAUGAAAGUGAACGGAGGUGGGAGUCCUCGGAUGCACCAUCGACCGAUCCUGAUGUUCUCGGAUGGAUUUGAGUAUGAGCAUAGCUGUUGGGACCCGAAAGAUGGUGAACUAUGCCUGAAUAGGGUGAAGCCAGAGGAAACUCUGGUGGAGGCUCGCAGCGGUUCUGACGUGCAAAUCGAUCGUCAAAUUUGGGUAUAGGGGCGAAAGACUAAUCGAACCAUCUAGUAGCUGGUUCCUGCCGAAG